rnacentral:rRNA from 1 species
UGGGGAAGUUUUCCGCAAUGGGCGAAAGCCUGACGGAGCAAUGCCGCGUGGAGGUGGAAGGCCUACGGGUCGUCAACUUCUUUUCUCGGAGAAGAAACAAUGACGGUAUCUGAGGAAUAAGCAUUGGCUAACUCUGUGCCAG